rnacentral:rRNA from 1 species
UACGAAGGGUGCAAGCGUUAAUCGGAGUUACUGGGCGUAAAGGGUGCGUAGGCGGUUGUUUAAGUCUGUUGUGAAAUCCCCGAGCUCAACUUGGGAAUUGCAAUGGAUACUGGCAGGCUGGAGUAUGGUAGAGGAAGGUGGAAUUCCCGGUGUAGCAGUGAAAUGCGUAGAGAUCGGGAGGAACACCAGUGGCGAAGGCGGCCUUCUGGACCAGUACUGACGCUCAUGCACGAAAGCGUGGGGAGCAAACAGG